GGUCAUCUGCCUCAUCAAGCCCAGGUGCUGCAAUCAGCAGGCAAAACAGCAAAGGGAAGCAAAGCUAAAGGGCUGUGUUUGCUCAACUGCCCACAUCGACAGAUCUUGAUUUGGCUGUUCCUGGACUGUGUUUCAGGUCUGAUUCUGCACUGUAUCCUGACUGCUGGAUUUCAGAGCUGGCUACUUGGAUUGACCCUGGACUGCAUUUCCUCACCUUUGGACUUUGCUUGUGUGGAUUGGACCCACCCCCAACCAAAUUUGAAUUUUGGACUUGACUUGCUGCAAGAACUAUCCUUCAGGCAGUAAAGCGCCAAGCAACGAUUAAAGAUUUGCUGCAGUCGCGAAGUCUGGCUGGACGGAGUGCCCCCAACAGUUCCAACGCCUCCACUGAACUGUUUAACAAACACGGCGCAUUGAAAAUACUGAGAGGGUGUGCUAGGAUAACUAUGCCAUGGCUGAAUUAACAACAACAACAACAACCACAUCACCCUGGAAAAUCAUUACUUUGGCUGCACUGCAAAAUUUGGAGAAGGGCAAAAUUUGAAGGGAGGUUAUGUGUUUCAGUUCACACCUCAUUUCAGAAAUUCAAAUGAGGAAACCUGGCUAGCUGUGAAACCUGUGACCUCUUUAGCAACGUAGCAUCACCCUGUCACCGCCAUGGAUAUGAAUAGAUAUUACAAUUCACAGAGGAGAUGAAGCUACAGUACCAUCCGAUUCUUGGUUCGAGCUGGGUCAGCUGGCAAGUCUCCAGUUCCUGAAUCAAGCUUGGAAUAUGGAUGUAGGUGGAAUUUUGGUUCAGACAUUCCAUUCCAGCCUCUUGCUGGAGGCAUUGCAGGGUCGUGCCAGGGUUAUGGCCUCCCCAAGACGUUGAUCCACUGAGUUGGCCACCCCAAGACCGCAGAGUGCAAGAAGCCCCAACAGCCGCCCACCCAGAGGAAGGGGUAAGCAUCCAUUAUCUUCCUUAGUGGGUUGGGCAAAGAACUAUUCUAAACGAUGCUUUCUAUAGGAUAGGGAAAAUUAGUUUAUGGAACCACCCAAAAAAGUUUGGGAACCACUGCUUUAAAGCUUGACUGACAAAAGGACACACCCAAGACCAACAGUGUAGCUUUAUCUGCAAUACUGUUGGGUUUUUGAUACUUUCUAGAAAGCACGUGGUCCAAGCCUCACAAGUUCAAGACUGUUUAAAUUACACAAACUCUUGAUAUAUAUAUAUUUUAAAAAAAUUUUUAUGGGUU